rnacentral:lncRNA from 1 species
CUCCCGUCCUUUUUCUCUCUCCAAAAGUCAUAUUAAUUUCCAAGUUAAAUCCCAGCCAUUCAUCCACCAAGAUAAAUCUCCACCAUCCACAAGAAACAUAAUCUUUGGCACAUUUGACCAACCAAUUAGAGACUGCCACGUAAGGACUUCUUUAACUCAUUUGCAGCUAAGUCAAUUGUCAAGAAUGGCAUUAAUUUGGAAAUGUUUUGAGAAACACACUUUCAUUUCUUCACCUUGGUUCUCAAUAACACUUGGCUCUCUGGUUGCGUAAUUUGCACAAGGAACAAUCAGUUCAUCAUCAUUGCCCAUACCUGCAAAAGAAAUUAGCCUGUGUCAAUAUGAAGUAUAGUUAAACAGGACUUAAACUUACUAACAGAUAAAACUUUUGUUCCCAUACCCGAGGGAUUUCUAUCGGUAUGUAUUUUAACCAAAUUAACUUCACCUGUAGAGAUUUUAUCUCUAAUAAAAUGAUACUUCACCUCGAUAUGUUUUGACCUUUCAUGAUAGACAGGGUUCUUACUUAGUAAUAGUGCACUUUGACUGUCUGUGAAAAUGGUGGGAGUAUCAUACAAGAAGUUCAAUUCAUUCAACAUUCCUUUUAACCAUAAACAUUCUUUUACAGCUUCAGUAAUGGCAACAUAUUCAGCUUCGGUGCUGGAUAAUGUUACUAUAGAUUGUAGUUGAGACUUCCAUGUUAUGCAAUUGUCUCCUAGUAUAAAAAAGUAGGCUGUGGUUGAUUUUCUGUUAUCUUUGUCACCAUCGAAGUCCGAAUCCACAUACCCUUUUAAGGUCAGUUUUUCAGUCCUUUUCUUAUACACAAGGCCUAGAUUUAAAGUACCAACUAUGUAUCUUAACAACCAUUUUAAACCUGCCCAAUGUGGUUUACCAGGAUUGGACAUAAAUCUACUUAGAAAACUAAUUGCAUAAGCCAAGUCAGGUCUUGUAGUUAUCAUAGAGAAUAUAAUGGAACCUAUGGCAUUAGCAUAGGGUAUGUUCUCCAUCUCUCUCCGUUCUUCCUCAGCCUUAGGAGAAUGGGCACUAGAAAGGUUCAUGUGGGCUGCUAAAGGAACACUAGUUGACUUGGAUUCCUUCAUUCCAAACUUGGUUACAACUUUAUUUAGAUAGGCUUCCUGUGAAACAACCAAUUUAUUUUUAAGCCUAUCUCUCCUUAUAAUCAUCCCUAGAAUCUUCUUAGCACUCCCCAAAUCUUUCAUGUCAAACUCUGAUUUUAAAAGAUUUUUGAUUGUAGUGAUUUCAGAUUUACUUGAGCCACUUAGUAGCAUGUCAUCCACAUACAACAGUAAGUACACCUCAUGUCCCCUCUUAGAAUUAUUAUAGUACAAACAAGCAUCAUAAUAACUUCUUUUAAAACCUAUUUUCAGUACAUAAGAGUCAAAACGUUUGUACCAUUGUCUUGGGCUUUGUUUGAGCCCAUACAAGGAUUUUUCUAGUUUACACACACAAUUAGCUUUGCCCUUCACCUCAAAGCCUUGAGGCUAAUACAUAUAUAUAUUCUCUUCCAAUUCUCCAUGUAGGAAGGCAGUUUUAACAUCAAGUUGUUCUAGUUCCCAAUUGUGCUGAACAACUAGGGCAAAUAUCAGUCUAAUUGUUGUAUAUUUGAUCACGGGGGAGAAUAUCUCAUUGUAGUCAACCCCCUCCUUUUGUGUAAACCCCUUAGCCACUAAUCUGGCUUUAUACCUAGGAGGAUCAUUAGGAUUAUUCCCUUCUUUGAGUUUGUAAAUCCAUUUACAUUGCACUAUCCUAUGAUCCUUAGGCUUAUUAACCAACUUCCAUGUUUUAUUUUCCAUUAGGGAUUGCAUCUCUUCUUCCAUUGCCUUUUUCCACAAAACUGAUUUUGGACCACUCAUAGCUUCUUCAAAAGAAGCAGGUUGAGUUUGUUCAAUAGUUUCACCAGACACCAAGGCAAAAUCAGUUAAGUUCUGAGACUCAUAUCUUGGGUUAGGUCUUCUUUCCCUUCU